rnacentral:rRNA from 1 species
UUGAAUUUCGGGGUUGGUAGGUUGGUCAUGCCUCUGGUAUGUACUGGUCUCACUGAUUCCUCCUUCCUGAUGAGCCGUAAUGCCAUUAAUUUGGUGUUGCGGGGAAUUUGGACUGUUACCUUUGAAAAAUUAGAGUGUUUAAAGCAAGCUAACGCUUGAAUACAUUAGCUUGGAAUAAUGAAAUAGGACGUUCGAUCCUAUUUUGUUGGUUUCUAGGAUUGACGUAAUGAUUAAUAGGGAUAGUUGGGGGCAUUAGUAUUCAAUUGUCAGAGGUGAAAUUCUUGGAUUUAUUGAAGACUAACUACUGCGAAAGCAUUUGCCAAGGAUGUUUUCAUUAAUCAAGAACGAAAGUUAGGGGAUCGAAGACGAUCAGAUACCGUCGUAGUCUUAACCAUAAACUAUGCCGACUAGGGAUCGGAUGAUGUUAAUUUUUAAUGACUC